rnacentral:rRNA from 1 species
GACGAACGCUGGCGGCGUGCUUAACACAUGCAAGUCGAACGGAAAGGCCUGCUUUCCCUUGUGGAUUGCGGGUACUCGAGUGGCGAACGGGUGAGUAACACGUGAGUGAUCUGCCCCCAACUUGGGUAUAAGCCUGGGAAACUGGGUCUAAUUCCCGAUAGGACUGCAGGGUGGUGCCUGUGGUGGAAAACGAUUUUCUAGUGGUUGGGGAUGAGCACGCGGCCUAUCAGCUUGUUGGUGGGGUAAUGGCCUACCAAGGCGGCGACGGGUAGCCGGCCUGGGAGGGUGGGCGGCCACGUUGGAACUGAGAUACGGGCCAGACUCCCACGGGAGGCAGCAGUGGGGAAUAUUGCACAAUGGGCGGAGGCCUGAGGCAGCGACGCCGCGUGGGGGAUGACGGGCUUCGGGUGGUAAACUCCUUUCGACCGCGAGGAAGCCACCUGGUUGGAAGGGUGGUGACGGUAGUGGUAGAAGAAGCACCGGCUAACUACGUG